rnacentral:tRNA from 1 species
GUCCAUGUGGUGGAAUGGGUAGACACGCUACUUUAAGGGGGUAGUAUUCGAAAGAAUGUGCUGGUUCGAAUCCAGUCAUGGACA